rnacentral:misc_RNA from 1 species
GAUGAAGACGUAGCGAAAUGCGAUAAGUAAUGUGAAUUGCAGAAUUCAGUGAAUCAUCGAAUCUUUGAACGCACAUUGCGCCCGCUAGUAUUCUGGCGGGCAUGCCUGUUCGAGCGUCAUUUCAACCCUCAGGCCCCCAGUGCCUGGCGUUGGGGAUCGGCCGCUGGCGUCCUUCGGGGCGCCUGGCCGGCCCCUAAAUCUAGUGGCGGUCUCGCUGUAGCUUCCUCUGCGUAGUAGCACACCUCGCACUGGGAAACAGCGCGGCCACGCCGUUAAACCCCCAACUUCUGAACGUUUGACCUCGGAUCAGGUAGGAAUACCCGCUGAACUUAAGCAUAUCAAUAAGCGGAGGA